GGGACUGUUUGCUCCUACGGGCUGUAGAUGGAGCUGUCCGGCCCCGGCAAGGGGGAAGGCGCCUGGAAAACGUUCUUCUUCUCCCUGGCCGGCCCGAGCGGGGAACAGCACUCCCAGGAUGCAGUUUGUGUCAACACGGCCGCAGCCUCAGCAGCUGGGCAUCCAGGGUUUGGGGCUGGACAGCGGGAGCUGGAGCUGGGCCCAGGCUCUGCCCCCGGAGGAAGUCUGCCACCAGGAGCCGGCGCUACGCGCGGAAAUGGCCGAGGGAAUGCCGCCCAUGCAGGCUCAAGAAUGGGACAUGGAUGCCAGGAGACCAAUGCCUUUUCAGUUCCCGCCCUUUCCAGACAGGGCCCCUGUCUUUCCUGACCGCAUGAUGCGUGAGCCCCAGUUGCCCACAGCAGAGAUCUCGCUCUGGACUGUGGUGGCUGCCAUUCAGGCUGUAGAGAGGAAGGUGGAUGCCCAGGCUAGCCAGCUGCUGAACUUAGAGGGGCGCACAGGCACAGCGGAGAAGAAGCUGGCGGACUGCGAGAAGACAGCCGUGGAGUUCGGUAACCACAUGGAGAGCAAGUGGGCCGUGCUGGGGACCCUGCUGCAGGAGUACGGGCUGCUGCAGCGGCGCCUGGAGAACCUGGAGAACCUGCUUCGCAACCGGAACUUCUGGGUCCUGCGGCUGCCCCCCGGCAGCAAGGGGGAGGCCCCCAAGGUCCCAGUGACCUUCGUCGACAUUGCUGUCUACUUCUCUGAGGAUGAAUGGAAGAACUUGGACGAAUGGCAGAAGGAGCUCUACAGCAAUCUGGUGAAGGAGAACUACAAAACCCUGAUGUCCCUGGACACGGAUGGCCCAGUGUCCAAGCCAGACCCUCCAGUUCAGGCAGAACCCAGGGAAGAGCCUUGUGUGUGGGAGCAGCAUCACCCUGAAGAGAGAGAAGUCCCUGUGACCGCAGACACAGGAACAGAGCCUCUGGUGCCUGCACAGGACAUUUCCUCCCAGGUGAAGCAAGAAGAAGCCUUGUGUGUUCGCGGCCAGCGGGGCCUGGAAGAAAGAGCCAUCCCCACAGAAUCCAUCACUGACUCCCCCAUCUCUGCCCAGGACCUUUUGUCCCGGAUUAAGCAGGAGGAACAGCAGUGUGUAUGGGACCAGCAGGAUUUGGCCGAGAGAGAUAUUCCCACAGACCCUAAUUCAGAAUCUCUCAUCUCAGCACAUGACAUUUUGUCCUGGAUCAAGCAGGAAGAGCAGCCGUACCCAUGGGGCCCACGUGACUCAAUGGAAGGAGAGCUUGGACUCGACUCUGGGCCCAGUGACAGCCUGCUGCUUGUAAAGAACCCACCCCCAGCUUCUGCGCAGCCCCAAACCCAGCCUCACCAGCAGAGCCUGCCCGCCUUGGCUGUCCCGGAGAACCCUGGCGGACCCGGGAGCCGUAGCUUGCUGGAGGACGGCUUCCCUGCGCUUCCAGGCGAGCGCAGUACCGGAGGCGAGGCUCAGCCCGGCGGAGAAGGCAGCGCAGGCGGUGGCGGCGGCGGCGGCGGCAGCGGCGGCGGCGGCGGCGGAGGCACGGGUGCCGGUAGUGGCAACAGUACCGGUGCGGGCGCGGGUGCGGGCAGUGGCUGCGGCAGCUGCUGCCCGGGCGGCCUGCGGCGGAGCCUCCUUGCUCACGGCGCGCGCAGCAAGCCCUACUCUUGCCUGGAAUGCGGCAAGACCUUCGGCGUGCGAAAGAGCCUCAUCAUUCACCACCGCAGCCACACCAAGGAACGGCCCUACGAGUGCGCGGAGUGCGAGAAGAGCUUCAACUGCCACUCUGGCCUCAUCCGCCACCAGAUGACGCACCGCGGUGAGCGGCCCUACAAAUGCUCGGAGUGCGAGAAGACCUACAGCCGCAAGGAGCACCUGCAGAACCACCAGCGGCUGCACACGGGCGAGCGGCCCUUCCAGUGCGCGCUCUGCGGCAAGAGCUUCAUCCGCAAGCAGAACCUGCUAAAGCACCAGCGGAUCCACACGGGCGAGCGGCCCUACACGUGUGGCGAGUGCGGCAAGAGCUUCCGCUACAAGGAGUCACUCAAGGACCACCUGCGCGUGCACAACGGCCCGGGCCUGGGGGCCCCGCAGCCGCUCCAGGUGCCGCCAGAAAGAGACUAGGGUUGGGCUGGGGGGCGGGGAGGACUGAACUGGAGUUGGGGCGGGCUAGGGUUCUUGAGGACCAACCCUCCUGCCUCACCGUUCUCAGCGCACCUCCUCGCCCUCUCCUCACCUCCUGCUGGAAAUCGGCACAGGAAUUGCACUCCAGACAGGGUAUUCCAAGGGGUGGACCUGGGUACCCCAGUACUGUCCAACUCUAGUGGACAGUCCAGCUCAUCUCAUAGGGUGGACCCAGUGGCCAGGGAAGGUUCCAGAGGGACAGCAAGGCAGCAGGAAUCGUUGGGACACGCCUCGGACUUCCUAGUGUGCCCACUGGCCACCGGGGUUACAGAUUCUGAUCAGGGAAAGCGACCAGGGAGUCUCAAAACCCUUCUGAAAUAAGGAAAUAUGAUCCAUCAUAAGCUGAUUCCCAAAGAGGUAUGGUGAUGGAUCUAUUAUUGACAGCCCAGACUCCAGUUCCCUGGAGCCCUGUCUGGUGGGUCGUUCUGCCCUCCACUACACUCUGAAUGAAUGGGCCCCUUCCUAAUGUGGGUGCUAGGAACCAAAUCCAGGUCUUCUGUAAGAAUGAAUCUCUCCAGCCCCAGGUAAUAUGAGCAACCUCACUGGCAUUACCACAGACCCAGCUAUUGGCUGUAUUGUUAUUUUAUUAUGGCUAUGGACCAAGAUCUCCUGAAGGCUACUACAGCAGCUCUGCCUCAUAAUGGUGAUGGUUGUCUAUCCUCCUGAGAACUGCCAUGUGACACUGAUCAGCUCAAAUAAUGUCAGGCUCAGGGCCUGAGUCCCCAUGAUCCCCACCCCCACCCCUUUUUUAAGUCAAUGUCUUACUAUGCCGCCCUGGCUGGCCUGAAACUUGAUGUGUAGAUCAGGUUGGCUUUGAACUCAGAGAGAUCUGCCUGGCUCUCUCUCUUGAGUGCUGGAAUUAAAGGUAUGCAUCACCAUGCCAAACCUGGUCCCUUAACUUUUGGUGAUUUAUCAUUAUAUAGAAAAAGUGUUUAGAGGAAAAGAUUGAAGAGAGAUAGGCCUUGAAUCAUUAUUCAACAGUUAGUGACCAUGUAUAAGACCAAAUCCUUGUCAAGCUUAAAAUGUAAUGGGAAAGAGAAGACAUUUGUGAGAAUGAAACCAUGUGGCUGUAAACCAUGAAAAUAGAGUGGGAAACACAUGCUUGAUCUUCCCUAGGGCUUGCCACGGUGGCAUGCUACAGAAGGCUGGAGAACAGUGGUGUGGAGAAGCCACACAUAGCCAGUGAGCACCAACACCAACAGUGCCUACCUAUGGGUUCCUGAACCAUAUAUUCCAGUAGGUCUUACUCUGCUGGUGUCUUCAGGUACAGCAUAAGAGGCCCCAGUCCUGAGACAGUAAGCUGUACCCUCGGAACUAACCAAAGGCAGUGACUCUCAUUAUGUUGGACUUUGCAUAUUAUUCACUAAAUUACCCAUUUUGACGUUUAGCCCGUUUCAGCCAAGAUAGGCAGUAUGUUGGGGGAUGGUUUACUUGUGACUGGAGUUAGGAGUUAGGAGGCUGAUCCACAUGAAGAAGAAAGGGGCAAUCCAAGGUAGUAACGCUGGUCUACGUAAGAAGUACCAAGUUCAUGUUGCAUGAAGCAGCAGGUGUAACUUCAUGUUGAAAUCAGGCUUGAAGCAAGAGCUGCACAGGGCAAAAGGGAAGGAAGGCAAGGAGACAGGGAGUGUAAGGCAGGGAGACACAGAGAUUGUAAGGGAAGGAAGGCAGAGAGACAGGGAUUGUAAGGCAAGGAGACUGGUGUGGCCAGGGCAGAGAGGUAUGAGCCUGUGGUUGUAUAGUUAGGUGGUGAGGUGUAUAGUACAGGCCACGGGUGACCUUGAAUACUCAAAGUGUCCUACAGACAGACCAUCAGCAAGCCUGGGAUCCACUGUAGUGUAGCUGUGUAGAACUUAAAAGGAGGGCAGGCAUGGCUGCCAAAGGAGAUCAGGAAGGAUUUGAUGGAAGUCCUGAGAAGCCGGGAUAAACCAGAGACCAUUGAAAGUGACCAAAUGCAGGUAAAUCUUUUUAUUUAAAUGGACUUCCCAUUUCUGAGAAAUAAAACUUUGUGUGCGGGUGCACUCACAUAUAUAAGCAGA